CCAGGAGGCGGGGCGCUCCCUGCCGCAGGGCCUCUGGGACGAGAUCAUCGACGGCCUGGCGUGGGUGGAGGAGGAAAUGGGCGCCCGCCUCGGCGACCCGCAGCGCCCGCUCCUGCUCUCCGUCCGCUCCGGCGCCGCGGUAAUGCCAUGGCCAUGCCAUCCUUGUUCGUUUGGUUCAUUCGCCUGCUCGCUUCUGAUCGCUUUGCCUUUGUGUUAUGUGAUAUGCGCAGGUGUCGAUGCCCGGGAUGAUGGACACGGUGCUCAACCUGGGACUCAACGACGAGGUGGCCGCCGGGCUCGGCGCCAAGAGCGGCGAGCGCUUCGCCAACGACUCCUACCGCCGCUUCCUCGACAUGUUCGGCAACGUCGUGAGUAUCUCCUGCCCAUCUGUCCUAAUGACUCAUCAGCGCCUCGUCGGAUCGGAGACGAUCUCGCAUGUUAAGCUAGCUUGGUUGUUGAUCACUCUACUCGCUUACUUGUAUGACUAGCUAGCUUGGUAGGUAGCUUAGCUAGGCGGCCUAUGCCUAGUUGUGCGUGCAUCGACCCAUGAUCGCUUCCGCGGGUGACCCGCGUCCGUCCGAGACGACGGCGGCUGCGUCGCACGCUUGCGGCCGCCGCCGGGGGCCACCAGCGUCGGGGGUUUCGUCUGUUUUGCCAGGCAGGACGCAGGACGGUGGGAGAGUACUUGCAGCACAGUGCUGUGUUUUCUUGGGUUAACCGAACGUGUGGGGAUCAUUCGGCACGGUUAAGCCAGUGAACGUGCUCGAUGCCCCGGCGUUGGAGUUAACCAGUGAAGUGAUUGGGCCAAGCACCUUUGCUUUUUGCUGCCAAUAAUAGGCAAGGUCCAAAUCAGAGAAGCUUUUCUACCUUUUUUAUUUCUUCUUAAAAAGUAAAAAAAAUUUGCGGACCUAAAAAGAAUAAAAAAUAUUUUCCAACGCAAAUGGAGGAAGGAAGUUGACGGUUCAAGAAAGGAACACGGCGACGGCAUCGUUGUAUCAGGUAAGAGGAAUUCGCAGGUGUGUGCAUAUUCCCCUGCAGAAAUUUAACAUGGACGGAGCAGUAUAUACAAGGUCAUUGUCAGUGUUCAAGCUCAUGCUAGACAGCCCUGUACGGUAUGUCGGUUGUCGGAGGUACGCCUCGUUUGUGGGGCUGAAGGACCGAUGACGGCGGCGCCUGUCUUCACCAGCAGAGUUUGACACUCUUUCCACCCGGAAAAUGGGUACAAGACGAUGAGGAAAAGAAAGUUUCUUGAAACGCCAUAGAAAAAUAUUUUUUAAAAACAAUGAGCAUUUAAUAUGGUCAGUUGGGGGCUGAGGGGAGAAGGUUGGUUGGUUCAACCUGCACACACAAGUGAUGACAUCUGCUAUGGAGAUGCUCAACCAGAGUUGGUUUUGGUCAUCUGUAAUUAGUUUUUUCAAUGACACUUCUAACUAGAAUGCUCAAACAGAGUUUUGUUUGUACUAUAAGAUAAUUGUUCCUCAGCAGAGCCUUUCUUUACCACCAGGUCAUGGACAUUCCCCACGCACUGUUCGAGGAGAAGCUUGAAGCCAUGAAGGAAGCCAAGGGGGUGAAGAACGACAAUGACCUGACUGCCUCUGACCUCAAAGAGCUGGUGGCUCAGUACAAGGAGGUCUACGUCGAAGCCAAGGGGGAGCCAUUUCCCUCAGGUAUGCCCACCGCAGCCUCACCCUCAGUUGAUAAUAUCUGUAUGAAAAAAAAAAUUCUCUUGAAACUAAAGCUGUUUCUUUGCAUCAAACUUAUGCAUGCCUUUACCUUGUUUUGUCUUGCAGAUCCCAAGAAGCAGCUUGAGCUAGCAGUGUUGGCUGUGUUCAACUCGUGGGACAGCCCCAGGGCCAACAAGUACAGGAGCAUUAACCAGAUCACUGGUCUGAAAGGCACUGCUGUGAACGUGCAGUCCAUGGUGUUUGGCAACAUGGGGGACACUUCUGGCACUGGCGUGCUCUUCACUAGGAAUCCUAGCACUGGAGAGAAGAAGCUGUAUGGCGAGUUCCUGGUGAAUGCUCAGGUAUGGACCAGUUUCUGUUGUGCCUAUUUGAUUCACAAUCUUAGCUGCCCUGUUUGAUCAAGUUAUUUUACACAAGUUAUAUUAAACAUGCAGUAGUAUCAACGAAUCUGUAUAAUGUAUGUGUGUUUCUGGUUCAGGGUGAGGAUGUGGUUGCUGGAAUCAGAACCCCGGAGGAUCUUGAUGCCAUGAAGGCACAGAUGCCGGAUGCUUAUGUAGAGCUCGUUGAGAACUGCAAGAUACUGGAGAGCCACUACAAAGAAAUGAUGGUACCUUAUUAUUGCAUUUUCAACCUUUACUGCACCAUUUAUUUUUGAGCUAUAUUUAAACAUGAUCUCUUUAAUAAUUUGCAACAUAAGCGCACUUGAAUACUGGUGUUGCUUCAAUGUGUUCUGUAGAUUGGCAUUGUGUCUCUGUUACUGCCAUUGGCCAUGAUCUCAGACUUGCUUGCUUUUUAUGCAUGAUGCAGGACAUUGAAUUUACCGUUCAGGAAAAUAGGCUCUGGAUGUUACAGUGCAGAUCAGGAAAACGUACAGGCCAAGGGGCGGUAAAGAUUGCUGUGGACAUGGUUAAUGAGGGUCUUGUUGAGCGCCGUCAAGCGAUUAAGAUGGUAGAGCCAGGCCACCUGGACCAGCUUCUCCAUCCUCAGGUAAUGGAUAACCAUGAGGCCCGUAAACUGAUUGUGCCUUACUUGAAAUUCAGUACUCUUAUAAGUUUGGCCUUACUUGGAAUUCACUUUAUAAGUUAAGUACUGGAUAUGUAUUAACAUCACUGUUUUAAUCUUGUCCAAUGAAAACCAGUUUGAGAACCCAUCAGCAUACAAGGAUCAAGUAAUCGCUACAGGCUUACCAGCUUCACCUGGGGCUGCUGUGGGCCAAAUUGUAUUUACUGCAGAGGACGCUGAAGCAUGGCAUGCCCAAGGGAAAGCUGCUAUCCUGGUAAACACCAUUUUAUCCUCAUUUUUAAGAAAAAAAGGUCUUCUGCAGUUUUUGUGUCAUUUUGAUCUGGACUUUGUGCUUCGAUGAAAAGAUCUGUUAAUUGAGCAAAACUGGUCUAUUUACUGGACCUGUUAGAAUAGUUGCUUGCAGAGUUACAGUCACAAAAAUCCCACUUAUCACAGACAGCCAUUUUUGAAAUGCAUAUGGAAGCUCCAAGUCGUAUCGCUUCAUCUUUUGCAUUCUGAGAAUUUUUUCUUUGCAAAUAUAUAGGUGAGGACAGAGACCAGCCCAGAGGAUGUUGGUGGCAUGCACGCAGCUGUUGGAAUUCUUACAGCAAGAGGUGGGAUGACCUCUCAUGCUGCUGUGGUAGCACGUGGUUGGGGAAAAUGUUGUGUCUCAGGAUGCUCAAGCGUUCUCGUAAAUGAUGCUGAGAAGGUGAAUAGAAUUCUUGUUUGCACAUCUUCUUCUUUGUAGAAGGUGACAUGCCAUGUUAAAGUUUGUAACAGGAUUAUGACAUUCUUUGUAGAUGUGCUCCGUCCGCCAUUUUUAAGUUCUUAUUAACGAGAUUUUGAGGAUGUAGAUGUUUCCUUACUUUGCUAUGUCUACAUUUACAGUCUGUAGUGAUUGGAGACAAGGUGAUGCAUGAAGGUGAGUGGCUAUCACUGAAUGGAUCUACUGGUGAAGUCAUCGUGGGGAAGCAGCCACUUUCCCCACCAGUCCUCAGUGGUGAUCUGGGAACCUUCAUGUCCUGGGUAGAUGAAGUUAGGCAACUGAAGGUAAAUUCCUAGAAAUAACAAAUAUGUAAUAUUAGUUAAAACAUGGAUACAAACUGUUGGAAGUAGAAACCAACAAAAAGGGCAUCAGAUUAUUUAUUCAGACAGGCCAAAGCUAGUCAACCCCACUACACAUUUUUCAACAGAAAUGCUUAUUCGUACAUAUGAUCCACCUUCCAGGUUUUGGCUAAUGCGGAUACCCCUGAGGAUGCACUGACAGCAAGAAACAAUGGGGCAGAAGGAAUUGGACUAUGCCGGACGGAGCACAUGGUAUGUAUUUUAGUUACUGUCCAAUAUCUUUUGGGUGGGAUCUUGGAAAACUUACUCUUUCUUGAAUUCCUUCGUCGAACAGUUGGGUAAACUUUAAGGACCUCCCGUUCUAGUCUCAUGUUCUCCUUUUCUGCACUUUGGCAGUUCUUUGCUUCGGAUGAGAGGAUUAAGGCUGUGAGGCAGAUGAUUAUGGCUCCCACACUUGAACUGAGGCAGAAGGCACUAGAUCGUCUUUUGCCUUAUCAGAGGUCUGACUUUGAAGGCAUUUUCCGUGCUAUGGAUGGUAUGUGAAAAUCACGAUGCAUUCAUUUACAUGCUCUCCAAUUGAACUGGAUGCACUAGUGUUACUGAACAUAACAAGAGUAAGCAACCUUCUUAAAUAGACAACAUUGACUACUAAUGUAAAGUGAAAAGGUAGACAAGUUUUAAACCUUAGGAUGCAAAAUACUUCAAAAAUAAGAACGAAAUUGGGCCAGUAACAUAUUGCAUCAAUUAUUUAACUUGGUAACAUAAAGUUCUGCUAUGAUUUAUCCAUUAGUUUUUUUUAAUCUUUUAUAGCGAGUGGUAUAUGUACAUGUUUCAUGGAAACAGAUAUAGAAUUAAACUACUAGAAUAAAUUUUAACAUGUAUUGUAGUUAGUUCCACAGUAUGUAUUUUAAAGUGCGGAAUGGAUUUGAACAUUAUUUUUUUUGCAUUUCAGGGCUUUCAGUGACUAUUCGGCUUCUGGACCCCCCACUUCAUGAGUUUCUUCCUGACGGGAAUGUUGAAGACAUUGUGCGUGAAUUAUGUUCUGAAACUGGAGCCAAUCAGGAGGAAGCCCUUGCAAGAAUUGAAAGUCUUUCAGAAGUAAAUCCAAUGCUUGGUUUCCGUGGGUGCAGGUUGGUUUUUGUGCUCCGUUUAAAUCAGUCACCCCCCCUCCUUGAUCCAUUUGGUUCCCUUGUUAGUGAAAUAUUAAAAAGAAUAAACUCUGUAUAUUUACCUCGACUAAUAUUGGAACUGCUAAAAUUCCAGGCUCGGUAUAUCAUAUCCUGAGCUAACAGAAAUGCAAGCCCGUGCCAUCUUUGAAGCUGCUAUAGCGAUGACCAACCAGGGUGUUCAAGUUUUCCCAGAGAUAAUGGUUCCUCUUGUUGGGACACCUCAGGCAUGCAUCUUUAUUUCCUUAUUUGUGCAUAUGGUAUCUCUGCAGUUCAUGGUGUUCAAAAUGACAAAAUCAAAAUUGAAUAAACAACCAAGUUCUGUACACAUGUAAUUUACGAUUUUAUGCAAACAUCAAGUUGACCUACACCCAAUUUCCCACCAAAUUCAUUUCUUGAAAUUUUCUCUCUCGAAUUCUAAGUUUAUUGCUUUCACUUGAUUUUUCCUUCAGACAUCUGACAUUUGACUUUUGCAGGAACUGGGGAAUCAAGUGGCCCUUAUCCGUGAAACUGCUAACAAAGUUUUCGCUGCUCUGGGUAAAACCAUUGACUACAAAAUUGGAACUAUGAUUGAAAUUCCGAGGGCAGCUCUAGUAGCUGAUGAGGUAGGAAGCAUCUAACUCCCUUCAGAAUAAUCUUAAAUAUUGCUGUUUAGGUUUAGCUUUUAGAUCAUAUUUUUCAUGAAUGGUUUAGUAAUAGAACCCCGGAUUUUUACUCUAAAACAUGUGAAUAGUAACUGAUGGUAUGAAUUUAUUAAGUGCAAAUAAUAAGUUUAUCCUCUAAUUUAAAAAAAAAACUGACAUUCUUGUUUUGGUUUCACAACCUGACAGAUAGCAGAGCAGGCUGAAUUCUUCUCUUUUGGAACGAACGACCUCACACAGAUGACAUUUGGCUACAGCAGGGAUGAUGUGGGGAAGUUUCUUCCCAUUUAUCUGUCUCAGGGUAUCCUCCAACAUGAUCCCUUUGAGGUAAAAUUUUAGCAGCUCUCACCCUUCAGUUUUAGAUGAUAUACCUGCAUUUUCAUCAUCCACUCUUGUUUUUCAAGGAAUAUUUCCAUCAUCCACAGAUGCGAGCAUCUCAUGUCCUCUAGGCAUUUUUCAUGUCCUUGACUUUUGGUUACGUGCAUGCUCUGGUAAAAUUCAACCUAGUAACUUGCCCAUUGAAUGUUGAUAAACAUAUCAGGUGCUGGAUCAGAGGGGAGUGGGCGAGCUGGUUAAGUUUGCUACAGAGAGGGGUCGCAAAGCUAGGCCUAACUUGAAGGUUAGUUUUUGGGACUUGUGGACAUUGGCUCUUUUCCUUAGAAAUCAUGGUUUCAUUGUUUGGUGCUGUCUGCAAACAGGUGGGCAUCUGUGGAGAACACGGUGGGGAGCCUUCGUCAGUUGCAUUCUUUGCAAAGUCGGGGCUGGAUUAUGUUUCUUGCUCGCCUUUCAGGUUGGUCAAGUGAUAAACUCAAGAUACAACUCCCAGAUUCAUAACUGUAGCAAAACCUUAACUACUUUUUAUGAAAUAUCUUGUGCAGGGUUCCCAUCGCCAGGCUAGCUGCAGCUCAGGUGCUCGUCUGAGGGCACCGCCUCAUCGGCAACCGGAUCACCUGCUGUUGGUGCGUCUGGUGAAGAAUACUAAUACAAAGCCAUGGAACGGUGGAACUCUGCUGCCUGGCAAAGGCCGUUGUAUCUUGUAUGAAGUCUCCGUGCGCGUGCGCAUGUAAGACUUAAUGUGUGGUUUUCUGCAUUUUCCCUUGAACUACCAUGGUAAUGUAGUACCAAACAGAGAUGAUGACGAAGAACAAUCGAAUAAAUUAAUUGGCGAUUAC
rnacentral:lncRNA from 1 species